GUCCCCAUAGCUCAGUGGUUUAGAGCGGCCGCCUGCAGCAAUGUUCAGCGGCAGGUCACGUGUUCAAAUCACGUUGGAGACU
rfam:Puccinia sorghi strain RO10H11247 Scaffold_344, whole genome shotgun sequence.